UCCCUGGUAGUCAGGUGGUUAGGAUUCAGCACUUUCACUGCUGCAGCAAGGGUUCAAUUCCCUGGUCGGGGAA
rnacentral:tRNA from 1 species